CAGAGAGCCUCUUAGUCAUAAUCACAUGUGGGUCAGAGAGCCUCUUAGUCAUAAUCACAGGUGGUUCAGAGAGCCUCUUAGUCAUAAUCACAGGGGGUUCAGAGAGCCUCUUAGUCAUAAUCACAGGUGGUUCAGAGAGCCUCUUAGUCAUCAUCACAGGUGGGUCAGAGAGCCUCUUAGUCAUAAUCACAGGGGGUUCAGAGAGCCUCUUAUAGUCAUCAUAAUCACAUGUGGGUCAGAGAGCCUCUUAGUCAUCAUAAUCACAUGUGGGUCAGAGAGCCUCUUAGUCAUCAUAAUCACAGG